AAACGAUAAGGCAAAACUGAUUCAAAUAUAUCGGCAAUUUAGUUUCCAUUAAGAAAUCAUUCAGUUCGGAACUAAAGUCGUAAGUUCCAUGUGCAGUGAAGAAUACAAUAAAGCAGAUGCCCCCAAUAUAGCCUACAGCUGCCGCGGGCACCAAGAUAAGUAUACAAUUAUUUAAAUGGAAGGACAAUAAAAGAAUGUGAACACGUUAAAGGAUCUUCAACAUUCUCACUCAGUAUUUGCAACAUCGCUAUUGAAUUAAUAAAUAAUAUAAGCAUACAUGUAGAAUUUCCAAAAUUACUUUCAAUAUUUUAUACUGUUUAGUAAUCCAAAAUAGUACCAGCAUAAUUACUUACCAUUUCUUACAUUAU